CCUACGGGUUGCACCAGUGGGGAAUAUUGGACAAUGGGCGAAAGCCUGAUCCAGCAAUGCCGCGUGUGUGAAGAAGGUCUUCGGAUUGUAAAGCACUUUCGACGGGGACGAUGAUGACGGUACCCGUAGAAGAAGCCCCGGCUAACUUCGUGCCAGCAGCCGCGGUAAUACGGAGGGUGCGAGCGUUAAUCGGAAUUACUGGGCGUAAAGGGCGCGUAGGCGGUUUAUGCAGUCAGAUGUGAAAUCCCCGGGCUUAACCUGGGAACUGCAUUUGAGACGCAUAGACUAGAGGUCGAGAGAGGGUUGUGGAAUUCCCAGUGUAGAGGUGAAAUUCGUAGAUAUUGGGAAGAACACCGGUGGCGAAGGCGGCAACCUGGCUCGAUACUGACGCUGAGGCGCGAAAGCGUGGGGAGCAAACAGGAUUAGAUACCCUCGUAGUC
rnacentral:rRNA from 1 species